CGUAGGGUGCAAGCGUUAAUCGGAAUUACUGGGCGUAAAGCGUGCGCAGGCGGUUUCGUAAGUCUGUCGUGAAAUCCCCGGGCUCAACCUGGGAAUGGCGAUGGAGACUGCGAGGCUAGAGUUUGGCAGAGGGGGGUAGAAUUCCACGUGUAGCAGUGAAAUGCGUAGAGAUGUGGAGGAACACCGAUGGCGAAGGCAGCCCCCUGGGUCAAAACUGACGCUCAUGCACGAAAGCGUGGGGGAGCAAACAGGAUUAGAUACCCUGGUAGUCCACGCCCUAAAACGAUGUCUACUAGUUGUUGGGUCUUAAUUGACUUAGUAACGCAGCUAACGCGUGAAGUAGACCGCCUGGGGAGUACGGUCGCAAGAUUA
rnacentral:rRNA from 1 species